rnacentral:rRNA from 1 species
UACGUAGGGUGCAAGCGUUGUCCGGAAUUAUUGGGCGUAGAGCUCGUAGGCGGUUUGUUGCGUCGGCUGUGAAAUCCCGAGGCUCAACCUCGGGUCUGCAGUCGAUACGAGCAAACUAGAGUGUUGCAGGGGAGACUGGAAUUCCUGGUGUAGCGGUGAAAUGCGCAGAUAUCAGGAGGAACACCGGUGGCGAAGGCGGGUCUCUGGGCAACAACUGACGCUGAGGAGCGAAAGCGUGGGGAGCGAACAGG